rnacentral:rRNA from 1 species
AGAGUUUGAUCCUGGCUCAGAACGAACGCUGGCGGCAGGCCUAACACAUGCAAGUCGAGCGCCCCGCAAGGGGAGCGGCGGACGGGUGAGUAACACGUGGGAAUUUUCCUCAAGGUACGGAACAACUCAGGGAAACUUGGGCUAAUACCGUAUGAUGCAGAGAUGCCAAAGAUUUAUCGCCUUGGGAUAAGCCCGCGUCAGAUUAGGUAGUUGGUGAGGUAACGGCUCACCAAGCCUGUGAUCUGUAGCUGGUCUGAGAGGACGAUCAGCCACAUUGGGACUGAGACACGGCCCAAACUCCUACGGGAGGCAGCAGUGGGGAAUCUUGCGCAAUGGGCGAAAGCCUGACGCAGCCAUGCCGCGUGAAUGAUGAAGGUCUUAGGAUUGUAAAGUUCUUUCGCUCGUGACGAUGAUGACGGUAACGAGAGAAGAAGCCCCGGCUAACUUCGUGCCAGCAGCCGCGGUAAUACGAAGGGGGCUAGCGUUGUUCGGAAUUACUGGGCGUAAAGCGCGCGUAGGCGGCUUUGCAAGCCAGAGGUGAAAUGCCUGAGCUCAACUUAGGAAUUGCCUUUGGGACUGCGAGGCUUCGAGGACUGGAGAGGUGAGUGGAAUUCCCAGUGUAGAGGUGAAAUUCGUAGAUAUUGGGAAGAACACCAGUGGCGAAGGCGGCUCACUGGCCAGUUUCUGACGCUAAAGUGCGAAAGCGUGGGGAUCAAACAGGAUUAGAUACCCCGGUAGU